GACGGAGGGUGCAAGCGUUGUUCGGAAUUAUUGGGCGUAAAGGGCGCGUAGGCGGCCUGCUAAGUCCGGUGUGAAAUCCCCCGGCUCACCUGGGGAACGGCGCUGGAUACUGGUAGGCUAGAGUACCGGAGAGGAGGGUGGAAUUCCUGGUGUAGCGGUGAAAUGCGUAGAUAUCAGGAGGAACACCGGCGGCGAAGGCGGCCCUCUGGACGAGUACUGACGCUGAUGCGCGAAAGCGUGGGGAUCAAACAGG
rnacentral:rRNA from 1 species